rnacentral:misc_RNA from 1 species
AAGGGCCCAUAUGUCUACCUUCUCAUUUAUAAGUUCUCUUCGGUACAAAUCCCACAUCUCAGGAGCUCUAUAUGCAGGUGUCGUGUGUUUCCUUAUAUUGUCCUCCUCAAUUCCCAUUUCCUCAGGUUUCUCAAAACGUUUGUGGUUGGUUGAAGUACUACCAAAAUCACACAACUUCCACAAUCCAUCAGCACCCAGCAAAAGGUUCUCAGCCUUCAAAUCUCUGUGAGCUAUUGGUGGGGAUUGGCAGUGCAUAGCAAAGACCGCGUUGCACACAUCCCUGAAUAUUAAGAGGGCCUGUUUCUCCUCAAAGAAGCCAGCUCCUCGGUUCUCAAGGACACUAACCAAGGAUUGUUCACAAUAUUCCAUGACAAGGAGAGCUUCCUUUGUACGACCCAUAUCCAAGAUGGUAUGCGCGUGAAGUGUAACAACAUUAGGAUGACCCUUAAGCGAUUUCAUCACCGAAAUCUCUUUCAAUACUAGAUCAAGUGAUUCUUCAUCAUUAACAAUCAUAUGCUUUAAUGCAUACUGCUUUGAACCAUGUAGGAUAUCUCGG